AACAAACGCUGGCGGCGUGCCUAAUACAUGCAAGUCGAUCGGGGAAAGUCUUCGGAUGAGUACUAGAGGCGCACGGGUGAGUAACACGUAGGUAAUCUGCCCUCGAGUGGGGAAUAACUUAUCGAAAGAUGAGCUAAUACCGCAUAAGACCACAAGAUCUGAGGAUCAAGAGGUCAAAGGAGCAAUUCGCUUGAGGAUGAGCCUGCGUCGGAUUAGCUAGUUGGCGGGUAACGGCCCACCAAGGCAAUGAUCCGUAGCUGGUCUGAGAGGAUGAUCAGCCACACUGGAACUGAGACACGGUCCAGACUCCUACGGGAGGCAGCAGUAGGGAAUAAUUGCGCAAUGGGGGAAACCCUGACGCAGCGACGCCGCGUGAGUGAUGAAGGCCUUCGGGUCGGUUAAAACGGCUCCUGUUGCAAGGGAAUAAAAAAAAUAAGAAUAGUACCGUUAG
rnacentral:rRNA from 1 species